GGGGCUGACAGGAAUUGACAGCAGGUGUAAUUGUUAUGUAAGCAUGCCGGGCGUUGUUUGCUUGCCCGUUAAUCUCAACAUUCACAGCCUUAACUGGCGACUAUAAUUACGCAUUGGCUGCUUAAUCUUUGAUUAACCAGACCAAUUACUUCCGUGUGACUUCUCACACCGGUCACCGAAUGGGAGUAUCGUAAGAUGUGAUAGUUUUUGCCAUCAGCGGUGGCAUCAGCGAAACACAAAUCCCGCUGCUAAGGAUGUUGCUUCGCUUGUGUUUAGCCGGCUUCAUCCCGACAAUCGAAAAACAAUAAGCAUGUAGAAAGCGUAGUGAUUGCUUGUCUGGACGAGGGUUCAACUCCCUCCAGCUCCACAA
rnacentral:tmRNA from 1 species